rnacentral:rRNA from 1 species
GGGAACAGCUCAUAGCCGAAUCCGGCGUCUGGGGGCGUCGGAAAUGUGGCGUAUGGGAGGCGGAGUCCUCCGAGUGCGGCCGGCGGUGCAAGUCCCCAUGAGAGGGGCAUGUGACCCAGAGCGGGUGCUAGGCCCGUACUGCCGCUGGCCUGCGCGCGGAGUUGCCGUUCUCCCGGGAGUCGGGUUGCUUGGGAGUGCAGCCCUAAGUGGGUGGUAAACUCCACCUAAGGCUAAAUAUGACCGAGAGACCGAUAGCGAACAAGUACCAUGAGGGAAAGUUGAAAAGCACUUUGAAGAGAGAGUUCAAUAGUACGUGAAACCGUUCAGAGGUAAACGGGUGGGACCUCGAAGUCCUAAGACGGUGGUGGAUUCAGUCGGAACGGUGUCCUUUCCGCGCCCGGGUAACCCCUCGACGGGGCCUCRACGCGCGGCUAGAUGGCCACGUUCCGGUGCAUUUCCACACCCCGUCCUUCGGGCGUCGCGACCGGUUGGGAGGCCAUUGCAAGGGCGGACGUGCUAGGUGGCCGCAUUUCCUUCGGGAUCUGUGGUGUUAUAGGCGGUCCUGCCCUGAUGGGUUGCCCGACCGGGGUCGAAUCUGACGUUCCCUUCCAGAAGGAAGCGGCCUCGAGACCGGGCCGUUCGCGGGACGGCGUGCCACCAGCAAAGGUGAGCGCCUUCCGCGGGCGGUUUCGGCCUCGUCGGCCAGCGCGGGAACUUGAGGUCGCGGCGAGUAGGUCGGUUACCCACCCGACCCGUCUUGAAACACGGACCAAGGAGUCUAACGCGUGUGCGAGUUACCGGGACUUGAAUAGGCCCGAGGGCGCAAUGAAAGUAAAGGGCGGCCCAGCCGUCCGAAUUGGGAUCCGUGCCUUCGCGGCACGGCGCACCAAUGGCCCGCCCUGCGCCGGUUUCGGCGGGGCGGAGCAGGAGCAUACGCUCUGGGACCCGAAAGAUGGUGAACUAUGCCUGGGCAGGACGAAGCCAGAGGAAACUCUGGUGGAGGUUCGUAGCGAUUCUGACGUGCAAAUCGAUCGUCAGACCUUG